AGAGUUUGAUCAUGGCUCAGGAUGAACGCUGGCGGCAUGCCUAAAACAUGCAAGUCGAGCGGUAAGGCCCUUCGGGGGUACACGAGCGGCGGACGGGUGAGUAACGCGUGGGAAUCUACCCCAAACUGAGGGAUAGCAUUGGAAACGAUGUCUAAUACCGCAUAUGGUCUUCGGAUUAAAGCUUCGGCGGUUUGGGAAGAGCCCGCGUAAGAUUAGCUAGUUGGUGAGGUAAAGGCUCACCAAGGCGACGAUCUUUAACUGGUUUGAGAGGAUGAUCAGUCACACUGGAACUGAGACACGGUCCAGACUCCUACGGGAGGCAGCAGUUAGGAAUUUUCCACAAUGGGCGAAAGCCUGAUGGAGCAAUGCCGCGUGCAGGAUGAAGGCCUUAGGGUUGUAAACUGCUUUUAUACGUGAAGAAUAUGACGGUAACGUAUGAAUAAGGAUCGGCUAACUCCGUG
rnacentral:rRNA from 1 species